GAUGAAGAACGCAGCAAAAUGCGAUAAGUAAUGUGAAUUGCAGAAUUCAGUGAAUCAUCGAAUCUUUGAACACACAUUGCGCCCGCCAGUAUUCUGGCGGGCAUGCCUGUUCGAGCGUCAUUUCAACCCUCAAGCACAGCUUGGUGUUGGGACUCGCGUUAAUUCGCGUUCCUCAAAUUGAUUGGCGGUCACGUCGAGCUUCCAUAGCGUAGUAGUAAAACCCUCGUUACUGGUAAUCGUCGCGGCCACGCCGUUAAACCCCAACUUCUGAAUGUUGACCUCGGAUCAGGUAGGAAUACCCGCUGAACUUAAGCAUAUCAAUAAGCGGAGGA
rnacentral:misc_RNA from 1 species